AGAACAUUUACAACAUAAACUCUGUCAAGCAACAGCACUUCAAUAUCCUUUGAAACUUGUGAUAACUGCUGUAAAAUUUUAGCUUUGCCCUUCAACUUUGAGCCUUUAACAGAUGCUUGACUAUUGAUACCUUCAUUAUCAUCCUCUUCAGUUAUAGAAGCAACUGUUUCUAUUGAUGUCAAUACCUCCUUUGAUUCAGCAGGAGCAAAACCUUUCAACUGUAAAGGCUUCAUGACAUAACCUAAAACAACGAAUGGAAACAUCAAAAUUGCCUCUCCAAAGAAUGCCCAACGCCAAUUAAAAUGACCUCCAACCAAUCCACCAUACACAUAGCCAACAGCAUAUCCAGUAGGUAUACACAUGUAAAAUAUUGCGAGCCACGCUGUUUUCUGAUACAAAAGCAGGUAUGAGACAGGUUUACAGCACUUGAAGUCAAUUGCAAAAAUGAUGUACCAAGUCCAAUUCAAGAUGUGCAUGCAAAAGGUGGAGCAAAUAUAAAAUAAAGUUAGGUCUAAAAGCUACUAAGAUCUUUAGGAAGGGCUUAAAUUAAUAUAGUUUGAAGUAAACGCAAGUAUUUCAACAUUCCACAAAUGUAUUUUAAAAUCAGUAUUUUUCUCCAAGUUCAUCAACAAGGUACUUGCCAAUUUGGUGGUAACACACCUUGCUUCAUUAUCAAUAGACCACGUCUAGGCCUACAACAGAGAGAGCUCAAGUGCAAUAUAAAUUCUGUAAUAAGAAAGAAUUAUCAAUUUGUGCUCUCAGAAAUCAAUCUUUCCAUUGUUGUGUAGCCUAUGACACCAAAUGACAGUAAAUGAAAAAAAAUUCAUGAGAUGCUAGCUGAUUGCAUGGUGUAGCUUCAUGGGUGCACACUGCAUAACAUAUUAGACUUUAUUUUGGGACAAUUUCAAUGGAUGUUUCAAUUUUUUUGUUUUACCAUGUUCAGCUUGACCAACCACCAGAUAAGUGCAAUGAAAUAAUUGCAAACCAACUGGAUAAUGUAUCCAAUUGAACUGAAAAAAAAACCUCUAAUAUAGGCUGAUUAACAUUCUGACAUUUCUUAAAUCAGCAAAUCCUAUAAAACAUGGUGCAAAAUUCAAGAUUCUGAUACACUUGAAGCAUAUCAGCUUGGUAGAGUAAUAUUGUGCAGGAUUUGAUGCUGCUAAAUAGCCAAAAAGUUUUAAAUAGUGUAGAUAAUAAUCAGAACACUUCAUAGAAUCAAGAAGUAUCUAUGAAAAGGCAACCAUUAAACAGCAUAGUCAUAUAUGCCCAACUGAAUUAAUUGAUGUAUCAUUAUCAACCAUCAGAAAAAGUGCGUAGGUUUUCAAGCCUCCUAUGAUAAAACAGCUGACACAUUUUACAUAGCAGCUCUGAUGUAUUUCAUUUAUAUCCAAUAAACCUCACCAAGCAUGCUAAUUUAAACACCAUCCAGAGCAAAAAGGAAGAAAACAAAACCUGAGCAACAGGGGCAUUGUCAUCAAUAAAUGGGGCUGCAAGACUUAUAAAUGAAGCCUCACCAAAUCCAACUAACAUGCGGCAAAUUGUAAUGGACCAGAAAUUAAAAGAAAAACCACAGCCAACAACAGCAACUGUCCAAACUGAUAAUCCAACUCCAAUAAGUCUAAAUGGAUUAAAGCUCUUAGCUAGUGAUGCAAAUAUUGGAGAAGCCACAAGAAGUCCAACCAUGAAAGCAGAUGAUAAUACUCCAUCUUCAAAAUUGUUUAAAUUGAAGUCCCCCUGUAUUCCGCUACCAGAUGUGCAUGUACCACCUUUUGUGCAAGUUCUCCGACUCCCAUUGACACCAUUGCUAGCUAUUGCUCCUCUAUCCACAUAAUUUAUCAAGUUGAUGAUACAGAAAAUAACUAGCAGCCUUUUAGGAGUGAACCAUGAAGGUGAAGGAACAGAUAAUGAGGUUGAACUUCUAGCCAUCUGAGUUUCCCUUGAUGGGUUUGGCUCCUCAGUCGAUGAUGGUUUUGUAUCUUUGGCUUCUUCUUGAGCCAUGAAAGCGAUAUAAAGAGAAUAUCCAACUGUACGAACGAAAAGAAAAACAGCUACUAUGACUUGGCUCUUGAAUGGUAGUUAAG
rnacentral:misc_RNA from 1 species